rnacentral:rRNA from 1 species
CCUACGGGGGGCUGCAGUGGGGAAUAUUGGACAAUGGGCGAAAGCCUGAUCCAGCCAUGCCGCGUGUGUGAAGAAGGCCUUCGGGUUGUAAAGCACUUUCAGUGGGGAAGAAAGCCUUGGGGCUAAUACCCUCGAGGAAGGACAUCACCCACAGAAGAAGCACCGGCUAACUCCGUGCCAGCAGCCGCGGUAAUACGGAGGGUGCGAGCGUUAAUCGGAAUUACUGGGCGUAAGCGCGCGUAGGCGGUCUGAUAAGCCGGUUGUGAAAGCCCCGGGCUCAACCUGGGAACGGCAUCCGGAACUGUCAGGCUAGAGUGCAGGAGAGGAAGGUAGAAUUCCCGGUGUAGCGGUGAAAUGCGUAGAGAUCGGGAGGAAUACCAGUGGCGAAGGCGGCCUUCUGGACUGACACUGACGCUGAGGUGCGAAAGCGUGGGUAGCAAACAGGAUUAGAUACCCGAGUAGUC